GACGAACGCUGGCGGCGUGCUUAACACAUGCAAGUCGAACGGAGAAUUUUACUUCGGUGAAAUUCUUAGUGGCGAACGGGUGAGUAACGCGUAGACAACCUGCCUCUUAGAUGGGGACAACAUCGCGAAAGCGGUGCUAAUACCGAAUGAAGUGGAGCUUCCGCAUGGAAGCAUCACCAAAGGUGGCCUCUAUUUAUAAGCUACCACUGAGAGAUGGGUCUGCGUCUGAUUAGCUAGUUGGCGGGGUAAUGGCCCACCAAGGCGACGAUCAGUAGCCGGUAUGAGAGGAUGAACGGCGACAGUGGGACUGGAACACGGCCCAAACUCCUACGGGAGGAAGCAGUGGGGAAUCUUCCGCAAUGGACGUAAGUCUGACGGAGCAACGCCGCGUGAGUGAAGAGGGUUUUCGGAUCGUAAAGUUCUGUUUUUUGAGUCGAAUGUGCAGUCUUUGAAUAAGGGUUUGUAAUGACGGUAUUAAACGAGAAAGCCACGGCUAACUACGUGCCAGCCGCCGCCGUAA
rnacentral:rRNA from 1 species